rnacentral:ncRNA from 4 species
GAACUUAAGCAUAUCAAUAAGCGGAGGAAA